rnacentral:rRNA from 1 species
CACGUAGGGUGCGAGCGUUGUCCGGAAUUAUUGGGCGUAAAGAGCUCGUAGGCGGUGUGUCGCGUCGGCCGUGAAAACCUGCAGCUUAACUGUGGGCUUGCGGUCGAUACGGGCAUCACUGGAGUUCGGCAGGGGAGACUGGAAUUCCUGGUGUAGCGGUUAAAUGCGCAGAUAUCAGGAGGAACACCGGUGGCGAAGGCGGGUCUCUGGGCCGAUACUGACGCUGAGGAGCGAAAGCGUGGGGAGCGAACAGG